GGAUGUAGAGCUCAGUGGUAGAGUGCAUGCCUAGCAUGCAUGAGGUCCUGGGUUCAAUCCCCAGGACCUCCA
rnacentral:tRNA from 1 species